UACGUAGGGGGCAAGCGUUGUCCGGAUUUAUUGGGCGUAAAGAGCGUGUAGGCGGUUAGGUAGGUCCGUUGUGAAAACUCGAGGCUCAACCUCGAGACGCCGAUGGAACCAUCUAACUAGAGUCCGGAAGAGGAGAAUGGAAUUCCUGGUGUAGCGGUGAAAUGCGCAGAUAUCAGGAAGAACACCCGUGGCUAAGGCGGUUCUCUAGUACGGUACUGACGCUGAGACGCGAAAGCGUGGGGAGCGAACAGG
rnacentral:rRNA from 1 species